AAAGUUAGAAUUUGUAAUUUUGUGUAAGUGACGACAAAUCAUUCUGCGAUCAACUUGUGGCUGCAUUAUUGGUUGGGCGGUCCAUACAACACACACAUAAGCAGAAGAUAAACAUAAAAUUGUACGUCGGUCUUAUUCUUCCAUGCAAUUUGGUCGGUUUUCUCCUAUGGCCAUCUCUCAGAAACCCCAUAUUUUGGUUUGUUUAUUUAAUUCUGG
rnacentral:lncRNA from 1 species